GCUAUUUCAAUUAAGGUUGUCCCCGAGCAAAGCGGAAAAUUUGAAUAUGAGCGCAUUAAUUUUUUUGCGAUUCCCCGCAGCCUUUCGCGCAUAUAUUCGACUUUUCCGCUUUGCUCGGGGACAACCUUAAUCGAAAUAGC
rnacentral:miRNA from 1 species